CCCAGACUCCUACGGGAGGCAGCAGUCGGGAAUAUUGCGCAAUGGAGGAAACUCUGACGCAGUGACGCCGCGUAUAGGAAGAAGGUUUUCGGAUUGUAAACUAUUGUCCACAGGGAAGAAAAAAGACUGAACCUGUGAAGAAAGCUCCGGCUAACUACGUGCCAGCAGCCGCGGUAAUACGUAGGGAGCAAGCGUCAUCCGGAUUUAUUGGGUGUAAAGGGUGCGUAGACGGGAUUACAAGUUGGUUGUGAAACCCCUCAGCUCAACUGAGGAACUGCAACCAAAACUAUAAUUCUUGAGUGCAGGAGAGGAAAGUGGAAUUCCUAGUGUAGCGGUGAAAUGCGUAGAUAUUAGGAAGAACACCGGUGGCGAAGGCGACUUUCUGGACUGUAACUGACGUUGAGGCACGAAAGUGUGGGGAGCAAACAGGAUUAGAUACCCUUGUA
rnacentral:rRNA from 1 species